UACGAAGGGGGCUAGCGUUGCUCGGAAUUACUGGGCGUAAAGCGCACGUAGGCGGGUCGUUAAGUCGGGGGUGAAAUCCUGGAGCUCAACUCCAGAACUGCCCUCGAAACUGGCGAUCUUGAGUUCGGGAGAGGUGAGUGGAACUGCGAGUGUAGAGGUGAAAUUCGUAGAUAUUCGCAAGAACACCAGUGGCGAAGGCGGCUCACUGGCCCGAUACUGACGCUGAGGAGCGAAAGCGUGGGGAGCGAACAGG
rnacentral:rRNA from 1 species